rnacentral:misc_RNA from 1 species
GAUGAAGAACGCAGCGAAAUGCGAUAAGUAAUGUGAAUUGCAGAAUUCAGUGAAUCAUCGAAUCUUUGAACGCACAUUGCGCCCGCCAGUAUUCUGGCGGGCAUGCCUGUUCGAGCGUCAUUUCAACCAUCAAGCCCCCGGCUUGUGUUGGGGACCUGCGGCUGCCGCAGGCCCUGAAAAGCAGUGGCGGGCUCGCUGUCACACCGAGCGCAGUAGCGUACCUCUCGCUCCGGGCGUGGCGGCGGGCGCCGGCCGUGAAACCCCCUACAUCAAAAAGGUUGACCUCGGAUCAGGUAGGAAUACCCGCUGAACUUAAGCAUAUCAAUAAGCGGAGGA